CCUACGGGCGGCAGCAGUGAGGAAUAUUGGUCAAUGGGCGGGAGCCUGAACCAACCAAGUCGCGUGAGGGACGACGGUCCUAUGGAUUGUAAACCUCUUUUGUCGGGGAACAAAGGCGUCCACGGGUGGGCGGAUGAGUGUACCCGAAGAAAAAGCAUCGGGAAACCCCGUGCAAGCAGCCGCGGUAAUACGGGGGAUGAGAGCGUUAUCCGGAUUUAUUGGGUGAAAAGGGUGCGUAGGCGGACAGUCAAGUCAGCGGUAAACAUGCGGUGCUCAACGCCGUACAGCCGUUGAAACUGGCAGUCUUGAGUGGGCGAGAGGUAUGCGGAAUGCGUGGUGUAGCGGUGAAAUGCGUAGAUAUCACGCAGAACUCCGAUUGCGAAGGCAGCUUACCGGCGCCCUACUGACGCUGAGGCACGAAAGCGUGGGUAUCGAACAGGAUUAGAUACCCGUGUAGUC
rnacentral:rRNA from 1 species